UACAGGGGGUGCUAGCGUUGUUCGGAAUUACUGGGCGUAAAGGGCGCGUAGGCGGCUUGAUAAGUCAGGAGUGAAAUCCCGGAGCUUAACUUCGGAAUUGCUUUUGAAACUAUUAGGCUAGAGUAUGUUAGAGGAAAUCGGAAUUCCUAGUGUAGAAGUGAAAUUCGUAGAUAUUAGGAAGAACACCGGUGGCGAAGGCGGAUUUCUGGGACAUAACUGACGCUGAGGCGCGAAAAGCGUGGGGAUCAAACAGG
rnacentral:rRNA from 1 species